rnacentral:rRNA from 1 species
UACGUAGGGUGCAAGCGUUAAUCGGAAUUACUGGGCGUAAAGCGUGCGCAGGCGGUUCCGCAAGUCAGAUGUGAAAUCCCCGGGCUCAACCUGGGAACUGCAUUUGAAACUACCGGGGGCUAGGAGUGUGUCAGAGGGGGGUGGGAAUCCACGUGUAGCAGUGAAAUGCGUAGAGAUGUGGAGGAACACCAAUGGCGAAGGCAGCCCCCUGGGCCUGCACUGACGCUCAUGCACGAAAGCGUGGGGAGCAAACAGG